AAUGAACGCUGGCGGCAGGCCUAAAACAUGCAAGUCGAACGCCUGUAGCAAUACAGGAGUGGCGCACGGGUGCGUAACACGUGGGAAUAUGCCUAUUGGUACGGAACAGCUCCGGGAAACUGGAAUUAAUACCGUAUGGUCCCUUCGGGGUAAAGAUUUAUCGCCAAUAGAUUAGCCCGCGGUGGAUUAGCUAGUUGGUAGGGUAAUGGCCUACCAAGGCGACGAUCCAUAGCUGGUCUGAGAGGACGAUCAGCCACACUGGGACUGAGACACGGCCCAGACUCCUACGGGAGGCAGCAGUGAGGAAUAUUGGACAAUGGGCGCAAGCCUGAUCCAGCCAUGCCGCGUGAGUGAUGAAGGCCUUCGGGUUGUAAAACUCUUUAGCCGAUGAAUAUAAUGACUGUAGUCGGAAAAUAAGCCCCGGCUAACUACGUGCCAGCCGCCGCAGUAA
rnacentral:rRNA from 1 species